AGCAACAUGGUGGAAUACAGAUAGUUAAGUAUGUACAGGUGGUAGAGAGAGAGCAACAUGGUGGAAUACAGAUAGUUAAGUAUGUACAGGUGGUAGAGUGAGAGAGAGCAACAUGGUGGAAUACAGAUAGUUAAGUAUGUACAGGUGGUAGAGUGAGAGAGAGCAACAUGGUGGAAUACAGAUAGCUAAGUAUGUACAGGUGGUAGAGUGAGAGCAACAUGGUGGAAUACAGAUAGCUAAGUAUGUACAGGUGGUAGAGUGAGAGAGAGCAACAUGGUGGAAUACAGAUAGUUAAGUAUGUACAGGUGGUAGAGAGAGAGAGCAACAUGGUGGAAUACAGAUAGUUAAGUAUGUACAGGUGGUAGAGAGAGAUAGAGCAACAUGGUGGAAUACAGAUAGUUAAGUAUGUACAGGUGGUAGAGAGAGCAACAUGGUGGAAUACAGAUAGUUAAGUAUGUACAGGUGGUAGAGAGAGAUAGAGCAACAUGGUGGAAUACAGAUAGCUAAGUAUGUACAGGUGGUAGAGAGAGAUA